rnacentral:rRNA from 1 species
UCGAGGGGCAGCAUGGUCUUAGCUUGCUAAGGCCGAUGGCGACCGGCGCACGGGUGAGUAACACGUAUCCAACCUGCCGACAACACUGGGAUAGCCUUUCGAAGAAAGAUUAAUACCGGAUGGUAUAGUUUUCCCGCAUGGGAUGAUUAUUAAAGAAUUUCGGUUAUCGAUGGGGAUGCGUUCCAUUAGGCAGUUGGUGAGGUAACGGCUCACCAAACCUUCGAUGGAUAGGGGUUCUGAGAGGAAGGUCCCCACAUUGGAACUGAGACACGGUCCAAACUCC